rnacentral:rRNA from 1 species
GACGAACCGUGCGAACGUUGUUCGGAUUCACUGGGCUUAAAGGGCGCGUAGGCGGGCUUGUAAGUCAGGGGUGAAAUCCUCCGGCUCAACCGGAGAACAGCCUUUGAUACUGCAAGUCUCGAGGGAGAUAGGGGUCUGCGGAACUUCCGGUGGAGCGGUGAAAUGCGUAGAUAUCGGAAGGAACGCCGGUGGCGAAAGCGGCGGACUGGAUCUCUUCUGACGCUGAGGCGCGAAAGCUAGGGUAGCGAACGGG